CCCGCUGAACUUAAGCAUAUCAAUAAGCGGAGGAAAAGAAACCAACAGGGAUUGCCCUAGUAACGGCGAGUGAAGCGGCAACAGCUCAAAUUUGAAAGCUGGCCUUCGGGUCCGCAUUGUAAUUUGUAGAGGAUGCUUUGGGGCAGCCGCCUGUCUAAGUUCCUUGGAACAGGACGUCAUAGAGGGUGAGAAUCCCGUAUGUGACAGGACAUGGCACCCUAUGUAAAGCUCCUUCGACGAGUCGAGUUGUUUGGGAAUGCAGCUCUAAAUGGGAGGUAAAUUUCUUCUAAAGCUAAAUACCGGCGAGAGACCGAUAGCGCACAAGUAGAGUGAUCGAAAGAUGAAAAGCACUUUGGAAAGAGAGUUAAAAAGCACGUGAAAUUGUUGAAAGGGAAGCGCUUGCAAUCAGACUUGUUUUGACUGUUCGGCCGGUCUUCUGACCGGUUUACUCAGUCUGGACAGGCCAGCAUCAGUUUUGGCGGCCGGAUAAAGGCCUAGGGAAUGUGGCUCCCGCUUCGGUGGGAGUGUUAUAGCCCUGGGUGUAAUACGGCCAGCCGGGACUGAGGUCCGCGCU
rnacentral:rRNA from 1 species